rnacentral:lncRNA from 1 species
GGAAAUGGUUCCAAUCGUUUUUCCACCAUUAAUUUUUUCCUUACUGGAUUAUAGAAACACUUAAAAUAAGGGCUGUGUUUCGUGUAGGCUUACCUUGGAGUGACGUUUUGAUAAUUGUGUAAAUCUCUCUAGGUCCAGGACAAGAUGUCUUAUCAAUAUAUUCGCUUGUAUUUACCCCUAAAAAUGAAAUGCUAAUUAGCUGUUAAUGUGGCUAUCAUAAUGAACUAAAAAUGCCAUGAAUGAUCUGGAUGAGACUGCGGAAUCGAGGCAAAUGUAAGAAUCUCUGGAUUAACUAUAUCUAAUGUUAGAAAAAUGUACUAAUGAAUAAGUCAUUUCUUUAAAUUGACAAUUCUGUGAACUGUCUUGUGCAAGUUUUACAUUGACACAAUAUACCUGUUUGCAAAGGUCAGCUCGACAUGACGUGCAGGAGCUGGCAGAGAUUUGUAGUCUUGCAUGAUGUCUACUUUGACGCUAAUUAGCAUUUUCUAAUCUGAGAGUAAAUAGAGCCGAAUAUAUUGAUUAAAGUCACCUUGUCCAAGAGCGAUUUAAAUGGUUAUCAAAACAUCAUGCCAGGGUAAGCCUACACGAAACACAGCCCUUAUUAAGUGUCUCUAAAAUUCCCUAUGGGGAAAAAUGAAUGGUGGAAAAACGAUUGGAACCAUUUCCCUGUUUGGGUAUUAUGACACCGCCACUUUGGGGCUCUAUAGCAGGGAUAGGCAACUCUGUUCCUGGAGUGCAGCAGGUACUACAGGAUUUUGUUCCAACUAGGCACCACACCUGACCAACUGAGCUAAUUGAUCAGUUCAAUGAUUGCCUAAAUUCAACAGACCCGCUGUUCCAGAUUGGACCACGACCUCACUCUGACCCUCAAGGCCGUUACCCUCCUAACCACAAACACCCAGUGGCUGCUAGACCUGACACCUUGGCCCCACGUACAUCCUCACCAAGCAAUCUGGGCAGCUCGCUCCCCCCCCGACUCAAGCCCUAGCCCCCUCAGACCAGUCAUCAGCCAUCCCUCCGGACUCUGCUACCGUCCCCUUCCCGGACCCCACCACAUCCCUCCUCCCCCACCCUUCAUGCCUCCCGUGUACAGACCAGACAACGGACACUCAGGCAUGAUGCCUCCUGGACCCCCACCACCUAACGGACACCCGCCUCGUCCCAUGAUACCACCCGGACAUCGGCCUCCACCUCCUGGUGCUCACGGUCCCCCUUCCCCACACAACCGGUACCUUCCUCCACCUCCUCACUAUGGACCUGUGCCUCCCCC